GAAGUCCUACGGGUGUCAGCAGUUAUUCCUAUUUUUCACUUUUCGCGAGCCUGAACCAGCCAAGUCGCGUGAGGGAAGACGGUCCUAUGGAUUGUAAACCUCUUUUGUCGGGGAGCAAAAAGGCCUCGUGAGGCCACAAGUGAGAGUACCCGAAGAAAAAGCAUCGGCUAACUCCGUGCCAGCAGCCGCGGUAAUACGGAGGAUGCGAGCGUUAUCCGGAUUUAUUGGGUUUAAAGGGUGCGUAGGCGGACGGGAAAGUCAGCGGGAAAGUCGAGAGG
rnacentral:rRNA from 1 species